rnacentral:lncRNA from 1 species
AUGCUGUAUAAGGAAAAAAAUAUUGAUAACGCUUAUCAGGCUUUUUUAGGAAAAUUUAAACUGUUAUAUGAUAGUCGUUGUCCAGUAAAGAAAUAUAGCACAAAACAAAAAUAUGCAGCAUGCCCAUGGAUCACAAAAGGAUUACAAAAUGCAUGUAAAAAGAAAAAUACCUUAUAUAGAGAAUUUAUAAAGAACAGAAGUACAGAAGCUAAAAAUAAAUGCAAGAAAUAUAAAAAUAAAUUAACUUGUAUUUUGAGGUCAUGUAAAAAGGAAUAUUAUGAGAAAUUAUUAAAUAUGAAUAAAAAUAACAUUAAAGGGAUUUGGAAAACAUUAAAUGCCAUCAUUAAAAAUGGUUCUAGGCAGUUAAAUUAUCCUUCAUAUUUCACUAAUAAUGAUAGAAAUAUUAGUAACAUGAGUGAUGUGGUUAAUGAGUUCAAUAAAUUCUUUGUAAGUGUUGGGCCAGACUUGGCUGAUACAAUUCCUUAUAUAACAAAUUCUGCAGAAAAAGAAACUAAACUCAUUGACCGUAAUCCUCAUUCAAUGUUUUUAACGGUGGUAGAAGAAAAGGAAAUAAUUGAUAUUGUUGGGAAAUCACAAACAAAAAAUUCUACAGACUUUGAUGACAUUGAUAUGGAAAUUGUUAAGAAAGUGAUCGAUGGCAUCACUAAACCCUUAACAUACAUUUGCAAUUUGUCUCUACAAACUGCUGCAUUCCCAACACAAAUGAAAACAGCUAAAGUAAUACCACUGUUUAAAAAUGGAGAUAGACACCAAUUCACAAAUUACAGGUCUGUUUCUCUACUUUCACAAUUUUCAAAAAUACUGGAAAAAAAUUUCAUUAAUAGACUUGACAAAUUUAUAGAUAAACAUAAAAUAAUAAUGGACAGUCAGUAUGGUUUCAGACCAAAUAGAUCAACAUCUAUGGCAUUAAUGGAACUAAUUGAAUUCAAUUCAAUUCAAUUCAAUUUUAUUCAAAUCACAACAAAAGUCACCUCAAGGCGCUUUAUAUUGUACAGUAGAUCACACAAUAAUAAAUACAGAGAAAAACCCAACAAUCAUAUGACCCCCUAUGAGCAAGCACUCUGGCGACAGUGGGAAGGAAAAACUCCCUUUUAA